UACGUAGGGUCCAAGCGUUAAUCGGAAUUACUGGGCGUAAAGCGUGCGCAGGCGGUUUUAUAAGCCAGAUGUGAAAUCCCGGGCUUAACCUGGGAAUGGCAUUUGGGACUGUAAGGCUAGAGUACGGCAGAGGGGACUAGAAUUCCUGGUGUAGCAGUGAAAUGCGUAGAUAUCAGGAGGAAUACCGAUGGCGAAGGCAGGUCCCUGGGUCGAUACUGACGCUCAUGCACGAAAGCGUGGGGAGCAAACAGG
rnacentral:rRNA from 1 species